rnacentral:rRNA from 1 species
GACAGAGGGUGCAAACGUUGUUCGGAAUUACUGGGCGUAAAGCGUGCGUAGACGGUUAUGUAAGUUAGGUGUGAAAGCCCCGGGCUCAACCUGGGAAUUGCAUUUAAGACUGCAUAGCUAGGGUGCGGAAGAGGGAAGCGGAAUUUCCGGUGUAGCGGUGAAAUGCGUAGAUAUCGUAAGGAAGACCAGUGGCGAAGGCGGGUCUCUGGACAGUUCCUGACGCUGAGGCACGAAGGCCAGGG